AGUCGAGCGGUAGCACAGGAGAGCUUGCUCUCUGGGUGACGAGCGGCGGACGGGUGAGUAAUGUCUGGGAAACUGCCUGAUGGAGGGGGAUAACUACUGGAAACGGUAGCUAAUACCGCAUAACGUCGCAAGACUAAAGAGGGGGACCUUCGGGCCUCUUGCCAUCAGAUGUGCCCAGAUGGGAUUAGCUAGUAGGUGGGGUAAUGGCUCACCUAGGCGACGAUCCCUAGCUGGUCUGAGAGGAUGACCAGCCACACUGGAACUGAGACACGGUCCAGACUCCUACGGGAGGCAGCAGUGGGGAAUAUUGCACAAUGGGCGCAAGCCUGAUGCAGCCAUGCCGCGUGUGUGAAGAAGGCCUUCGGGUUGUAAAGCACUUUCAGCGAGGAGGAAGGUGGUGAGCUUAAUACGUUCAUCAAUUGACGUUACUCGCAGAAGAAGCACCGGCUAACUCCGUGCCAGCAGCCGCGGUAAUACGGAGGGUGCAAGCGUUAAUCGGAAUUACUGGGCGUAAAGCGCACGCAGGCGGUUUGUUAAGUCAGAUGUGAAAUCCCCGGGCUCAACCUGGGAACUGCAUUUGAAACUGGCAAGCUAGAGUCUCGUAGAGGGGGGUAGAAUUUCCAGGUGUACCGGUGAAAUGCGUAGAGAUCUGGAGGAAUACUCGGUGGUCGAAAGCGGCCCUCCUGGACGAAGACUGACUCUUCAUGUGCGAAAAGCGUGGGGAGCAAACAAGGAUUAGAUACCCUUGAU
rnacentral:rRNA from 1 species